GAUGAACGCUAGCGGCAGGCUUAAUACAUGCAAGUCGAGGGGCAGCGGGGGUAGCAAUACCUGCCGGCGACCGGCAAACGGGUGCGGAACACGUACACAACCUUCCUUUUAGUGGGGAAUAGCCCAGAGAAAUUUGGAUUAAUACCCCGUAAUAUUAAUGAAUGGCAUCAUUUAUUAAUUAAAGCUCCGGCGCUAGAAGAUGGGUGUGCGUCUGAUUAGGUAGUUGGUGCGGGUAACGGCCCACCAAGCCUACGAUCAGUAACUGGUGUGAGAGCACGACCAGUCACACGGGCACUGAGACACGGGCCCGACUCCUACGGGAGCAGCAGUAAGGAAUAUUGGUCAAUGGACGCAAGUCUGAACCAGCCAUGCCGCGUGGAGGAUGAAGGUCCUCUGGAUUGUAAACUUCUUUUAUCUGGGAA
rnacentral:rRNA from 1 species